AAUGAGAUAACAAAUAUAUGUCAUAAUCUUGCAUACCAUUACUUAUAUAGUAGGUGAUUAUAUCCGAAUACAUUGCGGAUUUUAUUGUACUUAGUACUUAGUUAGAUAGUGUUAGUUAGUUGGACACUGUCCAGUGGAGUAAGGCCCAUAUAAACCAAUUCCUGCCGGCUUCCCUUUUGGCAGAAUUGAUGUGGAAUUUUAUUAUCAAUCAGAAUGAUUUUCGGACCACAUUUAUGCAUAUUAGUACCCACCACCUAUACUAUUUAAUAUUUUUGUACUUAGUGAACAAGGGGAGAAGUUGGAAUAUUCGCGUCAUUUUAUCGUCUAUAAUUGCAAAACUAUAUACGAGCGAGUAGACAGCACCAGCGAAGCACAGCGGGUAGAGCAGCAUGGCGAGGUAGCGCAUGGCCUCGGCGUCGGCCGCCGCCGUGGAGCGCUCGGCCGCGUCGGCGCCGCGCUCGCGCCACACGCGCAGCUUGUAGCCCGCCAGCGACACGCGCACGUGCAGCACCUUCGUCACUUUCCAUAGCUGCAAACAUACUUUAUAUUAAACUUAAUUU